rfam:Amanita muscaria Koide BX008 unplaced genomic scaffold scaffold_3, whole genome shotgun sequence.
GGGGCUAUAGCUCAGCUGGGAGAGCGAUAGACUGAAGAUCUACAGGUCCCGUGUUCAAUCCACGGUGGCCCCA